rnacentral:lncRNA from 1 species
AUGGACAAGUCCCUGCUCAUGCUCCUGCUCCUGGGAUCUCUACCUUUUGUGAUCUUCCAAGGUGAGGCCUUUGCUCUCCAGUGUAGACUCUGUACCAACUACUAUCUAGGAGUUUGUGUAUCUACAGAGGCAACAUGUAUUGCUGAGAAUGGUGCCGUCUGCAGAGGUUAUAGACUGUCUUCUAAAAACAAUAUGUCUUUCCCAUCUCUUGGAUAUAAUGUUUGUGCACAUGAUUGUAACCCCUUCUACACAUCUUGGAGUGAUUCUGGAAGUCUGCUAUUCUGCUGUAGUAAUCGUGAUAUGUGCAAUGAUGUUCCUGAGCCAGUCGAUCAAUAUAUAGCAGCAGUACCUUUCUUCCCUUCUAAUUAGUUUAUCACUGGUUCUUCCUAGGUUUAAUUUUCACCAUGGACUAGCAGUUUCUCCAGGCACUUAAUACCCUGGAGCAAAGGACCCUGAGUAAGACACAGUCUUCAUCUUUAAACAGAUUCACUGUCAGCACAGUCACAUCCGCCUUAUCAUUUUCUCCUAAUAAAUGUUAAUUUGUCUGACUCUUUAUUUCA